CCCCGCCUGUCCGAGGGUAGGC
rnacentral:rRNA from 1 species